rnacentral:rRNA from 1 species
AGUGAACGCUGGCGGUAGGCCUAACACAUGCAAGUCGAACGGCAGCACAGUAAGAGCUUGCUCUUACGGGUGGCGAGUGGCGGACGGGUGAGGAAUACAUCGGAAUCUACUUUUUCGUGGGGAUAACGUAGGGAAACUUACGCUAAUACCGCAUACGACCUACGGGUGAAAGCAGGGGAUCUUCGGACCUUGCGCGAUUGAAUGAGCCGAUGUCGGAUUAGCUAGUUGGCGGGGUAAAGGCCCACCAAGGCGACGAUCCGUAGCUGGCCUGAGAGGAUGAUCAGCCACACUGGAACUGAGACACGGUCCAGACUCCUACGGGAGGCAGCAGUGGGGAAUAUUGGACAAUGGGCGCAAGCCUGAUCCAGCCAUACCGCGUGGGUGAAGAAGGCCUUCGGGUUGUAAAGCCCUUUUGUUGGGAAAGAAAAGCAGCAGGUUAAUACCCCGCUGUUCUGACGGUACCCAAAGAAUAAGCACCGGCUAACUUCGUG